GGCUCAGGAUGAACGCUAGCUACAGGCUUAACACAUGCAAGUCGAGGGGCAGCAUGGUCUUAGCUUGCUAAGGCCGAUGGCGACCGGCGCACGGGUGAGUAACACGUAUCCAACCUGCCGUCUACUCUUGGACAGCCUUCUGAAAGGAAGAUUAAUACAAGAUGGCAUCAUGAGUCCGCAUGUUCACAUGAUUAAAGGUAUUCCGGUAGACGAUGGGGAUGCGUUCCAUUAGAUAGUAGGCGGGGUAACGGCCCACCUAGUCUUCGAUGGAUAGGGGUUCUGAGAGGAAGGUCCCCCACAUUGGAACUGAGACACGGUCCAAACUCCUACGGGAGGCAGCAGUGAGGAAUAUUGGUCAAUGGGCGAGAGCCUGAACCAGCCAAGUAGCGUGAAGGAUGACUGCCCUAUGGGUUGUAAACUUCUUUUAUAAAGGAAUAAAGUCGGGUAUGGAUACCCGUUUGCAUGUACUUUAUGAAUAAGGAUCGGCUAACUCCGUGCCAGCAGCCGCGGUAAUACGGAGGAUCCGAGCGUUAUCCGGAUUUAUUGGGUUUAAAGGGAGCGUAGAUGGAUGUUUAAGUCAGUUGUGAAAGUUUGCGGCUCAACCGUAAAAUUGCAGUUGAUACUGGAUAUCUUGAGUGCAGUUGAGGCAGGCGGAAUUCGUGGUGUAGCGGUGAAAUGCUUAGAUAUCACGAAGAACUCCGAUUGCGAAGGCAGCCUGCUAAGCUGCAACUGACAUUGAGGCUCGAAAGUGUGGGUAUCAAACAGGAUUAGAUACCCUGGUAGUCCACACGGUAAACGAUGAAUACUCGCUGUUUGCGAUAUACUGCAAGCGGCCAAGCGAGAGCGUUAAGUAUUCCACCUGGGGAGUACGCCGGCAACGGUGAAACUCAAAGGAAUUGACGGGGGCCCGCACAAGCGGAGGAACAUGUGGUUUAAUUCGAUGAUACGCGAGGAACCUUACCCGGGCUUAAAUUGCAGAUGAAUUACGGUGAAAGCCGUAAGCCGCAAGGCAUCUGUGAAGGUGCUGCAUGGUUGUCGUCAGCUCGUGCCGUGAGGUGUCGGCUUAAGUGCCAUAACGAGCGCAACCCUUGUUGUCAGUUACUAACAGGUUCCGCUGAGGACUCUGACAAGACUGCCAUCGUAAGAUGUGAGGAAGGUGGGGAUGACGUCAAAUCAGCACGGCCCUUACGUCCGGGGCUACACACGUGUUACAAUGGGGGGUACAGAGGGCCGCUACCACGCGAGUGGAUGCCAAUCCCCAAAACCUCUCUCAGUUCGGACUGGAGUCUGCAACCCGACUCCACGAAGCUGGAUUCGCUAGUAAUCGCGCAUCAGCCACGGCGCGGUGAAUACGUUCCCGGGCCUUGUACACACCGCCCGUCAAGCCAUGGGAGCCGGGGGUACAAGAAGUGCGUAACCGCGAGGAGCGCCCUAG
rnacentral:rRNA from 1 species